rnacentral:rRNA from 1 species
GAUGAACGCUGGCGGCAUGCCUAAUACAUGCAAGUCGAACGAGAGGAAGGAAAGCUUGCUUUUCUGAAUCUAGUGGCGAACGGGUGAGUAACACGUAGGUAACCUGCCCAUGUGCCCGGGAUAACUUCUGGAAACGGAUGCUAAAACCGGAUAGGUAGCAGACAAGCAUUUGACUGCUAUUAAAGUGGCUAAGGCCAUGAACAUGGAUGGACCUGCGGUGCAUUAGCUAGUUGGUGAGGUAACGGCACACCAAGGCGACGAUGCAUAGCCGGCCGGAGAGGGGGGACGGCGAAAGAGGGACUGAGCAUCGGCCCAAACUCCUACGGGAGGCGGAAGUAGGGAAGUUUUGUCAAUGGGGGGAGCCCUGAACGAACGAUGCGGCGUGAGUGAGGCAGGUCUUCGGAUCGUAAAGGUCUGUUGUAAGAGGAAAACGACAUUCAUAGCGAAUGAUGAGUGAGUGAUGGUAUCUUACCAGAAAGUCACGGCUAACUUCGUGGCAGCCGCCGCAGUAA